AAUGAACAUAAAGAUCUGGAAGCCCUAGGUUUCGGUGUUGGAAAAGGAAUAGGUCGAACGAACCCUAGAAGGAAGGAUUGUUCGGGGGAGGAUCUAGAUCUGGUGGUUUAAGAUGCUUUAAUCGGUGAAAUAGAUCGAUUAAUCGGUGGAACGGUUAGAACCCGAUUUCAAUCGGUGAAGAUGAAGGAAAACGUGAAACCAAUCGGUCAAAAGGGGAGGAACGGCUAGGAGAAGGUGAAUGUGGAGAGUGUUUCGGUGAGAAAUGACUUACGGAGGCUGAGCCGUGAGGAAGCUAGGGUUGCUGGCUGGAGACGCUCUCGGAAGAGAGAAACACUGAUGACUGAAAAUGAAGAAUGAUGUUGUGUGUAAUACGCUUCUGAAAUGUGAGAGAAUUGGUGAGAGAAUGUUGCUGAUGUAUGCGAGGUGGCAGCAAAGAAAUGGGCCACCGUGGAAGAGUGACGUCGUGGAGGAGAGAGAGAGCACAAUGGUGAAUUGAAAAGUGGAAAAAUGAGGUAGUGUGCUGGAAGGUGGCUAGAGGAAGUCUUUGGACUCUCUAGCCAAUGACUUUCAAGGGAGAAUUAUUUUCUGAUUUAGAAAACCAAAUUCUCAUUAAUCUCAAAAGUAAGUACAAGAAGUGUAAGCAUGACUAUAUAUAGGACUAAAAGUCCCACAUGCCUAACACAAUACAAGGUACAUAAAAGAAAGGCUACACUAAAGAUAUUGAGCUUGGGCCCCGCGUAUCAUCUACUCUCGGUGCCGAGAUCAUCG
rnacentral:lncRNA from 1 species